AGGUUUUCUCAAGAGUCUUUGAUGAGGAACUUGGUCGAAAGCUUUUUGAAAGCCCAAGUACACUAUGUCAACUGGAUUACCUUUAUCCACAUACCUGUUGACACUCUCAAAGAACUCCAAAAGAGUCCCUGGAAGAAGGACAUUCUACAGCAAUAUAGAAAACAUGUGUGCCGCUUUCCCCGUCAAUCACUGCUUAGAAAACGUCACCAAUAAUUUGUACUGUGGAAGUGCUCGAUUUACGGACCCCUGGGUCUAAUUGGAUCCGCUGAUUUCGGCUAAAUCCCAUUCUGUCAACAGCUCAGUGGUGGGUCCUUUUGUGUGCAAAGGCCUAAGGCUUCAUCCAUUGGACUGAACUCCGUUGGACUUACUUCUCAGUAUACAUGAUUGCAGUGCAUGAAGAGGAAUGAACCAUGGCACACACAACAGCAAGUAUUCUUUUAGAGCUAAAGUAGUGCUGCAAAUUCAUACUAUCGUGCACGAAGGAAUGCAAUGGUAGUCUUGAAUCUCGGGAAUCCCACUGGCAGUAUUACAGAUGCAUGUUUACCUUGCAGACAUGUAGUUAGAACUAAAUGGGGAGAAAAGCAGUUUUAGAGGGAGGGAAACAGCAGGUGAGAGAAACAUGCUGAACCCUCCCUGCAGGAUGGAGAGGUGGUCUGGGGCUAGUGAGCAUCAAUUAAUUAUCCCCUUUGCUACGCAAGGUUUGUCCUGGUUUGCCAUCGGAAGGGAGACUACAUGUGAGCUUUGUCUGCUGUAAGACAAUCCUGAUGGGACCAUGUUGUAUUCUAUCUAGUAAUCUCUUAUGUUUUGUUUUUGAGAAGUUUGUCUCAAUGGGGAUCCUGUAGAGAGUGUGGGAGUGGAGUCAGAAAGGGAAAGGGAGAGAAAGGAGAAAGAGAAAUUUUAUUUAUUUAUUUAUUAAAAUUUCUUGUAUACCGCCUCCUCCAAAGACUCUGGGUGGUGAACAAUAACAAUAGCAAUAUUUUUUUUAAACAAUUAAAGGGCAAAAGCCUGGCAAAAAAGGUAGGUCUUAAGGGCCUUAAAAGCCACUAAGGAGGGGGCUGAAUGAAUCUGGGUGGGAAGGGUGUUUCAAAGAAGAGGGGCAGCCCGAGAGGAGGCCCUCCUAUGGGCCCAGGCACCAUGCACUACACCAGGGCCCAGGACGCUAAGGAGGAGUUGUUUCUGAAUAAACUCUUAGUUAAAUCUACAUAAUAUUAUUUAUUGAGGGAAACAGCUAUAAAACAGGUCAUAGCUCGGUGGUAGAGCAUCUGCUCACAUGUAGAAUCUUCCAGCUUCACACCCUGGCAUAGGAACAAAGGAA